GGCAGCGUGGCCGAGCGGUCCAAGGCGCUAGACUCAAGAAGUAAUUCUUGCUUUCAAUGAAAGUUGGGUAUUCUAGUCAGUGUAUACUGGCGUGGGUUCGAAUCCCACCGCUGUCA
rnacentral:tRNA from 1 species